rnacentral:pre_miRNA from 1 species
UGGUUUGAGAGGUUGAAGCUGCCAGCAUGAUCUGGUAAUGAACCUGGCUAUCACUCUUUUUUCUGUGUACUCUUUUGCCUCUUUAGUCUUUGUGUAGCUAGUUAAGCUAUCUAUAUUGAUGACAGACCGAUAGUUGAUAAGUAGAUUUUAUGACCAGUUUUAGUUCAAAAUUCUGGAGUCCAGAUGAGUUAUUUCUGUGCUCAAAAUGUUAUCAGGACAAGGAUAUUGUCCAUUUGUUAAAGGGGUUUUGAGUUUGCCAAGGGAAUUUAGAUGUCUUGAUUAAGAACCCUGCUUGAACUCAUAGAUAUGGUUCACCAUCAGGUCAUCUUGCAGCUUCAAUCACUCACUCA